rnacentral:ncRNA from 2 species
GGGUUCGGGAGCUGUUUCCCGGAGGAUUAGAUGGUCGGGCCGCCAUCU